rnacentral:rRNA from 1 species
UACGUAGGGCGCAAGCGUUGUCCGGAAUUAUUGGGCGUAAAGAGCUCGUAGGCGGUCUGUCACGUCGGAUGUGAAAGCCCGGGGCUUAACCUCGGGUCUGCAUUCGAUACGGGCAGACUAGAGUGUGGUAGGGGAGAUCGGAAUUCCUGGUGUAGCGGUGAAAUGCGCAGAUAUCAGGAGGAACACCUGCGGCGAAGGCGGGUUGCUGGGCCGACACUGACGCUGAGGCGCGAAAGCCAGGGGAGCGAACGGG